AUUAGCUCAGUGGAUUAGAGCGUCUGACUACGAAUCAGAAGGCCGUAGGUUCGAAUCCUACAUGG
rnacentral:tRNA from 1 species